GUCCCUGUAGCGCAAUGGAUAGCGCGUUGGACUUCUAAUCCAAGUGUCGUGGGCUCAGAUCCCACCUGGGAUU